rnacentral:tRNA from 1 species
AUCGGUUUUUUGAACCGUCGACUUCACAUCGGAACACCGCCAUGAGUUGGCGCAUG